AACCAUAGAAACCUGCGGAGUACCUGCGGAGGGAUCAUUAUAGAGUAAUACCCCCCUUUUUUUAAAAGGGGUAGGUAGAAUCUCCAAACCCCAUGUUUACUUUUUACCUUUGUUGCUUUGGCGGGUCGUUAAAAGCUUUAAUGUGUAAAUCUUUCCAUUAAAGGCCUUUUUCCAUUGGCUUUUUUUUAAAAAAAAGUUGAUGAGUUUACCCGUCAAAGGAUAUGAAAACUCUUGAAAUUU
rnacentral:misc_RNA from 1 species